rfam:Candidatus Roizmanbacteria bacterium RIFCSPHIGHO2_02_FTLL_38_11 rifcsphigho2_02_scaffold_11313, whole genome shotgun sequence.
CAGAACGUCGUGAGACAGUUCGGACUCUAUCCGGUGUAGGCGCAUGGAAUUUUGAGGAGGUUUUUCCACAGUACGAGAGGACCUGGAAGAAGAGAUCCCUGGUGUACCGGUUGUCCCAAAAGGGCAUCGCCGGGUAGCUAUAUCUCUAUUCGAUAAACACUGAAAGCAUAUCAAGUGUGAAGCGAGCUCCAAGAUUAGAAUUCCACAUGAGCUUUCCCGAAGAUUACGGGAUUAUAGGCGUCAGGUGUAAGUCUCGCAAGGGAUUUAGCCAAGACGUACUAAUAGCCAUCUCCCAUCUUCU